AAAACCCAAAGGCGAAAUGAAAGUAAAUAGUGGAAAAUUGAUUUUAUUGAAUUUAUUUCUAUAUUAUCAGUUUCCCUAUAGGGAAGAUGGAAAACUAUAUCAGUAACGGUAUGUGUUUAUCGCAUAUUGUUGUUGAUACAAGUUUCCCGCACUCCCGGGGCGCUYGUUUCUCGCUUGCGAGUCACUGCGCACCUAGAGCGUACACGAUGAUACCCGAAAGAUGGUGAACUAUGCCUGGCCAGGACGAAGCCRGGGGAAACCCUGGUGGAGGUCCGCAGCGAUUCUGACGUGCAAAUCGAUCGUCGGAGCUGGGUAUAGGGGCGAAAGACCAAUCGAACCAUCUAKUAGCUGGUUCCCUCUGAAGUUUCCCUCAGGAUAGCUUGCACUCGGUUGAGACGAGUCUCAUCCGGUAGAGCGAAUGAUUAGAGGCAUUGGGGUCGAAAACGACCUCAACCUAUUCUCAAACUCCAAAUAGAUGAGAACCCCGGCUUUCUUAAAAAUGAAGCCGUGGGAUUCGGAUCAGAGUGCCAAGUGGGCCAAUUU
rnacentral:rRNA from 1 species